rnacentral:rRNA from 1 species
UAAGACGGCCAUAGUGAUUUGGUACCACCUGUUCUCAUUCCGAACACAGAAGUUAAGCUUUUCACGUUGAUGGUUUUAGUGGCAGACCAGCUGCGAACCCAUUAAGCUGUCUUAU